rnacentral:tRNA from 1 species
GAUUAGCUUAGUAUAAAGAGUAGUACAUAAAAUUGUAAAUUUUAGAGUAAUUUUAAUUAGCUAUCU